rnacentral:rRNA from 1 species
CCUACGGGAGGCAGCAGUGAGGAAUAUUGGUCAAUGGACGAGAGUCUGAACCAGCCAAGUAGCGUGAAGGAUGACUGCCCUAUGGGUUGUAAACUUCUUUUAUAUGGGAAUAAAAUGUUCCACGUGUGGGAUUUUGUAUGUACCAUAUGAAUAAGGAUCGGCUAACCCCGUGCCAGCAGCCGCGGUAAUACGGAGGAUCCGAGCGUUAUCCGGAUUUAUUGGGUUUAAAGGGAGCGUAGGUGGAUUGUUAAGUCAGUUGUGAAAGUUUGCGGCUCAACCGUAAAAUUGCAGUUGAAACUGGCAGUCUUGAGUACAGUAGAGGUGGGCGGAAUUCGUGGUGUAGCGGUGAAAUGCUUAGAUAUCACGAAGAACUCCGAUUGCGAAGGCAGUUCACUGGACUGCAACUGACACUGAGGCUCGAAAGUGUGGGUAUCAAACAGGAUUAGAUACCCGAGUAGUC